rnacentral:rRNA from 1 species
GACGAACGCUGGCGGCGUGCUUAACACAUGCAAGUCGAACAGUGGCACACGGGUGAGUCAUGCUUGGGAAUCUAGCUUAUGGCUGGGGUUACCUCAGGGAAACUGUAGCUAUUACCGCUAACCAUAGGAUGAUCCCAAGUGGGAUUGGGUAGUUGUUGAGGUAAAGGCUAACCAAGCCCCCGCUCUCUAGCUGGUCUGAGAGGAUGACCAGCCACACUGGGACUGAGACACGGCCCAGACUCCUACGGGAGGCAGCAGUGGGGAAUAUUGCGCAAUGGGGGCAACCUGACGCAGCCAUGCCGCGUGAAUGAAGAAGGCCUUCGGGUUGUAAAGUUCUUUCGGUAGCGAGGCGUUAACUACAGAAAAAGCACCGGCUAACUCCGUGCCAGCAGCCGCGGUAAUAC